GAUGAAGAACGUAGCGAAAUGCGAUAAGUAAUGUGAAUUGCAGAAUUCAGUGAAUCAUCGAAUCUUUGAACGCACCUUGCGCCCUUUGGACAUUCCGAAGGGCAUGCCUGUUUGAGUAUCAUGAACACCUCAACUCUCACGGCUUGUCCGUGAUGAGCUUGGACUUUGGGGGUCUUGCCGGCCUGUGGUCGGCUCCUCUCAAAUGGAUCAGCUUGCCAGUGUUUGGUGGCAUCACAGGUGUGAUAACUAUCUGCGCUUGUGGUUUUCCAUCAGAUAACCUUCAGUGAUAUGGAGGUUCGCUGGAGCUCACAAAUGUCUCUCCUUAGUGAGGACAGCUCUUUGAACGUUUGAUCUCAAAUCAGGUAGGACUACCCGCUUAACUUAAGCAUAUCAAUAAGCGGAGGA
rnacentral:misc_RNA from 1 species